GCUUGUUUAGCACAAUGGUAAUGCAUUGCUUGCCGAAUAGCGGCUGCCAGGUCGAUAUUUUCGAUUUGAUGCAGUCCAAUUUGCCCGAUCUAAGUUUACACUUAAAAAUGGGAAGCAAGGACUGGUGGUUCGAGUCCACCAACAAGCA